UACACCUUAUUACCUUACACUUACAGCUUUAGGCGUAACCAUCUUAGGGCUCCUUCUAGCAACAGAACUUAAUCUCAUAACCAACAAUAUAAAAUUAAGCACCCCAGUAAAAACCUUGUAAAUUAGAGAA